GCCCACGUAGCUCAGUCGGUAGAGCACAUCCUUGGUAAGGAUGAGGUCACCAGUUCAAUUCUGGUCGUGGGCUCCA
rnacentral:tRNA from 1 species